rnacentral:rRNA from 1 species
UACGUAUGGGGCAAGCGUUAUCCGGGUUUACUGGGUGUAAAGGGAGCGUAGGCGGCAGGGCAAGCCUGAUGUGAAAGCCCGGGGCUCAACCCCGGGACUGCAUUGGGAACUGCCCUGCUGGAGUGCCGGAGGGGCAGGCGGAAUUCCUAGUGUAGCGGUGAAAUGCGUAGAUAUUAGGAGGAACACCAGUGGCGAAGGCGGCCUGCUGGACGGUGACUGACGCUGAGGCUCGAAAGCGUGGGGAGCAAACAGG